UGGGGAAUAUUGGAGAAUGGGCGAAAGCCUGAUCCAGCCAUGCCGCGUGUGUGAAGAAGGUCUUCGGAUUGUAAAGCACUUUAAGUUGGGAGGAAGGGCAGUAAGCGAAUACCUUGCUGUUUUGACGUUACCGACAGAAUAAGCACCGGCUAACUCUGUGCCAGCAGCCGCGGUAAUACAGAGGGUGCAAGCGUUAAUCGGCAUUACUGGGCGUAAAGCGCGCGUAGGUGGUUCGUUAAGUUGAAUGUGAAAGCCCCGGGCUCAACCUGGGAACUGCAUCCAAAACUGGCGAGCUAGAGUAGGGCAGAGGGUGGUGGAAUUUCCUGAGUAGCGGUGAAAUGCGUAGAUAUAGGAAGGAAAACCAGUGGCGAAGGCGACCACCUGGGCUCAUACUGACACUGAGGUGCGAAAGCGUGGGGAGCAAACAGG
rnacentral:rRNA from 1 species